AAGGCUAUGAUUGGUCCAAAGGGCGGGUCAUAGACGGAUUUCUCGGUUAUAAAAAAAAAGAUCUUGCAGAGACUUUCGAGAACUUCAGAAGUAUUGAUGACAAGGCUAUGUUUAUCUUAAACUCUGGAACAUUCCAGUCCUGGAACAAUCGUCAUCUUCCUUAUCUCCAAGCGCAGUGCAUUGUUUGAUCUACUUGAGUCUUUCCUGACUACUAAAUAUCCGGAAGGUCUUCGUGCAAGUCAACUUGCAUGUAGGGAUGGUGAUGCUGAAUAUUCACUACUUGUAAACUUGAAAAGGUUGGAUGAUGAUCUUCAGUUGUCACGGCAAAUUUCCAUCGAAAGCUUGCAUAAUGAUCUUGCAGAAACUGCCCCAAGGCUUAGCUCAAGUGGAAAAAGGUGGAGGAUUUGUGGCUUAGGUCACCGGUUCAAUCCCAACAC